CCUGCAACCUCAUGGUUCCUAGUCGGAUUCGUCUCUCCAUUUCUUUUGGGCAACUGGAUUGGGCUUCUGGGGAAGGAAAGGGAUAGAUGCGGUGGGAAACUUGGUAUGGUUUUUGUAGCAAAUGACAGUUGAUAGCUGUGUGAUCUUGGUUCAAAUGCUAACCCUCUCUGAGCUUUGGUUCCCAUCUUUAUACAGUGGGGAAAUCCAGGCAGCUCUGAGGGCUGAAUGAAGCAAUGCAGGUAAAGCACGUAGUGCUGAUAUUCAGUUCAGUGCUCCCCCAAAUGCUUGCUCUCUUCCUCGCUAAACAACCUUGGACUUGGCAGGUUCUCCCCAGAAGCAAUGGGCCAGAGAAGUGAAAAAUGCCUGCAGGUCACAGCAUGCACAACUCCACCCAGUGCCUGAGCCUUCACCCUCACCCCAGAAAAUCCAGCCCCUCUCUCCUCUUUCCCAGACACACUCUGUUCCCAGCUUCCAGCUCCAUUCCCACAGCCACCUCUCUCCAGGCAGCCCCCUCGCUAGAAAUCUCUCCUCCCCUCCUAUCUAAAUCCAAUUUAUCCUCAGGUCCAGCUCAAGACCCUUCAUCUGGGAAGCCUCCCUCUUUGUCUGCUCCGAACAGUCCUCUUUCCACGCCUCUCCGACACCAAGGAAGCAGCCCAAGGACAAGGCUGCCUGCUUCCUUUGAGAGAGUUCAAAUAGGAGAGCAGGUCCUGACUGAUGCACCUGCUGUGUGAGCCCCUCUCGGUGGGCCUGAACACUGGUCUGAUAUCCUGGUAUUGCUGGCACCCUCACCACUACCACGUCUUCACAUCCUGAGAAGACCGAGUGGGCAGUUACUACGCCAGGUGCUGUGCCCAGAGUUUACCUCACUGCCUCUUUUUAUCCUCAUUUUCACAGCCCCAAGAGUUAUUGCUGUUACUCCA